GGCUCAGGAUGAACGCUAGCUACAGGCUUAACACAUGCAAGUCGAGGGGAAACGAUAGAGAAAGCUUGCUUUUCUAGGCGUCGACCGGCGCACGGGUGAGUAACGCGUAUCCAACCUGCCCAUCACUUGGGGAUAACCUUGCGAAAGUAAGACUAAUACCCAAUGAUAUCUCUAGAAGACAUCUGAAAGAGAUUAAAGAUUUAUCGGUGAUGGAUGGGGAUGCGUCUGAUUAGCUUGUUGGCGGGGUAACGGCCCACCAAGGCGACGAUCAGUAGGGGUUCUGAGAGGAAGGUCCCCCACAUUGGAACUGAGACACGGUCCAAACUCCUACGGGAGGCAGCAGUGAGGAAUAUUGGUCAAUGGACGAGAGUCUGAACCAGCCAAGUAGCGUGCAGGAUGACGGCCCUAUGGGUUGUAAACUGCUUUUAUAAGGGAAUAAAGUGAGUCUCGUGAGGCUUUUUGCAUGUACCUUAUGAAUAAGGACCGGCUAAUUCCGUG
rnacentral:rRNA from 1 species